GGGGUCGUAGUUCAGUUGGUUAGAACGCCGGCCUGUCACGCCGGAGGUCGCGAGUUCGAGCCUCGUCGACCCCGCCA
rnacentral:tRNA from 1 species